rfam:Glycine soja cultivar W05 scaffold2194_55, whole genome shotgun sequence.
UUCUGAUUGGAUGAUAACUGUCAUGUGUUAGGUUUUGAUUUAAUAUUGACUCUAUGGACGAUGAAAAUGUAUUGUUGUUGUCAACGUUCAAUUAGAACGUGACAUGUGAUUGUCAUCGUCC